rnacentral:rRNA from 1 species
GAGUUUGAUCUUGGCUCAGGACGAACGCUGGCGGCGUGCCUAAUACAUGCAAGUCGAGCGAGGGUUUUCGGACCCUAGCGGCGGACGGGUGAGUAACACGUAGGCAACCUGCCUCUCAGACCGGGAUAACAUAGGGAAACUUAUGCUAAUACCGGAUAGGUUUUUGGAUUGCAUGAUCCGAAAAGAAAAGAUGGCUUUUGGCUAUCACUGGGAGAUGGGCCUGCGGCGCAUUAGCUAGUUGGUGGGGUAACGGCCUACCAAGGCGACGAUGCGUAGCCGACCUGAGAGGGUGACCGGCCACACUGGGACUGAGGACACGGCCCAGACUCCUACGGGAGGCAGCAGUAGGGAAUUUUCCACAAUGGACGAAAGUCUGAUGGAGCAACGCCGCGUGAACGAUGAAGGUCUUCGGAUUGUAAAGUUCUGUUGUCAGGGACGAACACGUACCGUUCGAAUAGGGCGGUACCUUGACGGUACCUGACGAGAAAA